rnacentral:rRNA from 1 species
CUGAAAGCAUCUAAGCGGGAAACUUGCCUCAAGAUGAGAUCUCACUGGAACCUUGAGUUCCCUAAAGGGCCGUCGAAGACUACGACGUUGAUAGGUUGGGUGUGUAAGCGCUGUGAGGCGUUGAGCUAACCAAUACUAAUUGCCCGUGAGGCUUGACCAUAUAACACCCAAGCAAUU